rnacentral:lncRNA from 1 species
GGCGUCGAAGUCCGCGGCGGCGGCGCCGUCGCCGUCGGAGGAGGAGCCGCCGAGGGUGCAGCGAGCCGGCCGCCAUCCGGUCCUCCCGUGCCCGUGCUGCUGCGGCGGGGAGAGGGAGAAGAACCUGCGCGGCACGCCGGCGCGGGCCGUCGUCGCAUGCAGCAGCCCGGCGCCUCCGGUUCCUCUGACGCGCACGCGCCGGAGCAGCUGGAGGUGGCCGCUGACCCUCGCGUCGGCGACGGAGGCCGCCGCCGCAGCGCCCGUGACGGGAGCCGCGGCGUGGUAGCUCGGGAGCACGGCGCCGUUGAUGAUGUCCAUCGUCGUCGACCGUCGUCCCCC